UCAAGCAUAUCUACUUCAGAAAGCGUGGAAAGAAAAGAGCCUGGUGGGAAAAGUCUAUCAAGUGAUAGUGACGUGCCCUUAUGGAAAAAAUUCUGGGAUAACACCCUCCAAAACCCCGCAAGGUGAAGCUCAUGUCAUCCAAAACCAAGGCAUGAGCCAGAGCCUAAAUAGAGGAAAGAAAAUAGAAGAGAGAAUUCUAGCGACAUAUCUGGUCAUCAUUCCAAGCAACCUGGCUGAACUUUUGCAUCGACAAACAAUUUUUUCUUGAGCAUUUUUAAAUUUACAAGCUGGUUUUCAACAAAGCUUUUCAAAAAGAAGUCUUUAUGAUGGUAAAUCUUUAAAAGAAAUGUGUUUUAGACCAAGAAAGGCAAACCUUUCAUGUCCUGUUUAGUCUCUAGCAUGCUUGUUUUCAAAACACAAGCUCCAGUCUGCAUGUUUCUGCAGUCAACUGUCUGUCUUAGAAAAUAUCUCAAAAUCAAUCUGUCCCCGUGUUUGCUUAUGAUUCUGCGGUAAUCCUCUGUUUGUAGUCACAAGUUGUCAGGAGAACAUCAUGUAAGGCAUGGUAUGAAGACUUAAGAAAUCUUGAAAUCAGAAACUUCAAUUUUCUUUCUCUUGAAGUGUUUCUAAGGGAUGAAAAAUGAGAAAGGAAAUUAGCAUCUACUGUUACCUCAUUUAAUUCCUUCAACCAUCUUCAGGGUAUUAUUGUCUCCAAAAAGAAACCAAGGUUCAGAGAAGAGGACUCACUUGCCCUGUGACCUAUGACCAGGGGUCCCACGUUGGGACCCAGAAUUCUGACUCGAACCCAGUGCUGGCUCCCCUGUGUCCCAGGGAUGGGCAGGAUAAGAUGUUCUUUAAAACUUUGUUUGUUGGGCACCUCAAAAAACCCUUAUGAAUUAUUGCUUAAGUUAUUUUGGCAUAAUAACGUCACUAAGUCCAUGGAAAAUUAAACUUUUAGAAUCUCU
rnacentral:lncRNA from 1 species